CUGAAGACAGGUGAGCGCCCCUUCACCUUACACCUAGGAGGAGCUGAGAGAAGAGGAGACUGAAGACAGGUGAGCGCCCCUUCACCUUACACCUAGGAGAAGAGGAGACUGAAGACAGGUGAGCGCCCCUUCACCUUACACCUAGGAGAAGAGGAGACUGAAGACAGGUGAGCGCCCCUUCACCUUACACCUAGGAGAAGAGGAGACUGAAGACAGGUGAGCGCCCCUUCACCUUACACCUAGGAGAAGAGGAGACUGAAGACAGGUGAGCGCCCCUUCACCUUACACCUAGGAGAAGAGGAGACUGAAGACAGGUGAGCGCCCCUUCACCUUACACCUAGGAGAAGAGGAGACUGAAGACAGGUGAGCGCCCCUUCACCUUACACCUAGGAGAAGAGGAGACUGAAGACAGGUGAGCGCCCCUUCACCUUACACCUAGGAGAAGAGGAGACUGAAGACAGGUGAGCGUCCCUUCACCUUACACCAGGAGGAGCUGAGAGUAGAGGAGACUGAAGACAGGUGAGCGCCCCUUCACCUUACACCUAGGAGAAGAGGAGACUGAAGACAGAUGACCGCCCCUUCACCUUACAC